UACGUAGGGCGCAAGCGUUGUCCGGAAUUAUUGGGCGUAAAGAGCUCGUAGGCGGUCUGUCACGUCUGCCGUGAAAACCCGAGGCUUAACCUCGUGGCUUGCGGUGGAUACGGGCAGACUAGAGGUAGGUAGGGGAGAACGGAAUUCCCGGUGUAGCGGUGAAAUGCGCAGAUAUCGGGAGGAACACCGGUGGCGAAGGCGGGUUACUGGGCUGAUACUGACGCUGAUGCGCGAAAGCCAGGGGAGCAAACGGG
rnacentral:rRNA from 1 species